rnacentral:lncRNA from 1 species
CCCUGAGUAAAAAUGAGACAGUAGAAACCUUGGAGAUCAAUAGCUAAAGAUUAUAUACAUUUUUUUUUUUUUUUAACACCGCCUCCACAACACAUGUUGGAAAGAAGCAGUGUUGCAGCACGCCAUGCAAUCAAAGGGGAUUCCCUGCAUGCAGGACCUCUGUGGAUCUACCUGGGGAGAAAUAAACUGAGUUAUUAAAAAUGAUGCGAGGAAAAGGACAGUUGAGAGCUCUGCACUGGGUGCGUCACGUCGUGCUCAGCAAGUCAUCUGAAGGCUUCUGAUGCAAGGAAAACCUCAAGAGCAAACAGGCGGGACGAUGCUGGUACCAGGUUGCAGAGCGAAAACACCCUGUUUUCACCCUGCUCACUGCAGUCAGCACAAGUCCUGCACUUGACUCCCGUCUGAGGCUGCAUCAUCCUCACAUCAGGUGGUUCCGCACCGCGCAGUCGGAGUUACUGAGCGCGCACUCACUCCAUCCCCAUGUCGCCGCGUUUCUGAUGAGUCCUGCAGCAGUUUUCGAUUGGCGCUGUUUAUCCCGUGAGUCCUGUGGAUCUGUCUGGCAGAAUCUAAUCACACCCAGCAAAUUCAUCACUGCACCCCCAUUUAGGGAAAAGACACUGGAAAAGAGGAGUAUCCGUCCGUCUCCAGGGCCGCUGAGCGCGUCUCUCCUGUAGCGAGACUAAGCCGCGCGCUCUUCCUCGAGCCAGCGUUCACCAUCGGCGCUGCUGGAAAUGUUUCUCAU